rnacentral:rRNA from 1 species
UUUAUGGAGAGUUUGAUCCUGGCUCAGGAUGAACGCUGGCGGCGUGCCUAAUACAUGCAAGUCGAGCGAACGGACGAGAAGCUUGCUUCUCUGAUGUUAGCGGCGGACGGGUGAGUAACACGUGGAUAACCUACCUAUAAGACUGGGAUAACUUCGGGAAACCGGAGCUAAUACCGGAUAAUAUUUUGAACCGCAUGGUUCAAAAGUGAAAGACGGUCUUGCUGUCACUUAUAGAUGGAUC